AUUGAAUAAUUUCACUUGUUUCAGGUAUUCCAAGAGCAAAUCGAAGUCCCACGAUAGUUUUAGAUGAAUUGAUAAACUAUGCUGAACGGGAACAAAGCGAAGAAGAUGCUUCAACUGCGGCGCAACAACCUUUUGAACAGCCAGAUGAUGGUCAGAAUGGUCUUGGGCAGCUUCAAGCGCUGGGUCCUAUGAUUUCGAAUAUUGUUCAAGACCUUGAGUCAUCUCUUGACGAUGUUAGAAAUAUCAGGGCUAAUAAUAUAUCGGGAUCACGACCCGGUAUGCUGAGCAGUUUUUCACAGAGGAUGGAUAAUAUAAUGGCCAAUUCGGAAAACAUGUUAAGGAAUAUGAGAAGUUUUGACCGUUUACCCAGUGGGCCCACCGAAAGCGCUAGAUCUACAACAGAAAAUGAACCACGUUGGAAUUUCAAUGAUCCGGGAUUUUAUGUCCGAGAUCUUCGAACUGAAGCCUCAAACAAUAUGGAGACUGAAGGUACCACUAGUCCAGGGAAUAUGCAGGAUAUGUUUGGAUAUAUGCACGCAGUAACCACAGACCAUACAUAUCCUCGCAAUCCAAAUAGAACCGGUGCUAUUGACAGAGUGCCGCCCCUUUUUAAUUCAUUACAAUUUACUGUCUCCUACAUAAAUUCGCAAUCCAGGCUUUUAAGGCGC